rnacentral:rRNA from 1 species
UACGGAGGGUGCAAGCGUUGCUCGGAAUUAUUGGGCGUAAAGGGUAGGUAGGUGGUCUCAUUUGUCUGUGGUGAAAGCCUUGGGCUUAACUCAAGAAGUGCCGCAGAAACGGUGAGACUAGAGUUCUGGAGAGGGUCGUGGAAUUCCCGGUGUAGCGGUGAAAUGCGUAGAGAUCGGGAGGAACACCAGAGGCGAAGGCGGCGACCUGGACAGAUACUGACACUCAACUACGAAAGCGUGGGGAGCAAACAGG